rnacentral:misc_RNA from 1 species
UUUUUUUUUUUAUUUAUACACCAAAAAAAGAUUCACAAAAAAUCAAGAAAAGGGUCAUAAACAAUUUUGUUUUUCGAAAGGUUUUUCUCUCUGUUUCUGUCUAAAAGAAUUCAUGGCGGAAAAAGGCCAGCCUCUUCCUAAGUUCGGCGAAUGGGAUGUCAAUGACCCAUCGUCAGCUGAAGGAUUCACAGUGAUCUUUAAUAAAGCUCGAAAUGAGAAGAAGACAGGUGGCAAGGUAGACUCACCACCAAAGGGUGACUCUGCAUACAAAAAUAAAGCAACGCUUGGAAAACCUCAAUCAAAAAAAUGGUUCUGCUGUAUGCAGUCUACUGCUGCUGAAUCAUGAACUUCUCUUAGCUUCUACAACCUGAACUGGGAAAUGAUGUUAGUUUGGAACCAGACGCGACAAGUGUACUAGAACACUGGAGCUGUAGUCAAGAUGUGACGAGUAAUUUUUGCUGUUGUAUUUUGGAUUAUUUACUCAUAAAAUGCUGGCUUUUGCUACCAAAAGAUAUUUAUGAUAUAUAUAUUUGUUUAUUUUUUUUGACUGCA